rnacentral:lncRNA from 1 species
GAGGUCUGAAUACUUUCCGAAUGCACAGUAGGUUACUGUUUACAAAUGCCCAAACUGCACUACUCCCUCUACCACUGAGUAUCUUUGUGGUUCAACCCUAUGCUUAAGUCAUCUCUGUUUUGAAAGACUAGAAUGUUUCUCUGACAUUUUUUGUUUCAUGUUUGGGUUGUGAGUUGAGACAAAACGGGCUAUGUGUGUGUACAUACAGAGCUGAUCUCUCAUUCAUCUUCUCAAGAAGAGCUUCCACCACAUCCUGUCACUCUGUUGUCGUUCAUGGCCCUGGAAUUCUUUGGAAUAAUAUGAUAAGUGAAAUUCCCACGCUAGGCGUCCUCUUUUCACAGCUUUAGGACAUUCCAGAGAAUCUGCACAGCCAUUUGGCUGUGAAGAGAUCACACGGGUGUUCCUGUUGUGCCAUGACUGAUCUGAGGAGGAUGAGGGGAGCUUGACUUCCAGGCAUGACCCCACUCUUCCAAUACUAUUGUUAUGGAGAGGAAGUGGUGCUUAUUGUCUUUGCCCCUGUGGGCCCAGCCUAGGGUCAGCCUAGGCUGGGGCUGGGGUUAGGGUUAGUCUAGGCUGGGGUUAGGGUCAGACUAGGCUGGGAUUAAUAGUAGGUUUAGCCUAGGCUGGGGUUAGUGUUAGGGUUAGCCUAGGCUGGGGUCAGACUAGGCUGUGGUCAGAUUAGGCUGGGGUAACUGUCAGCCUGGGUUGGGGUUAGUGUUAUGAUUCAGUCUAGGCUGGGGUCAAACUAGGCUGGGGUUAUGGUCAGACUAGGCUGGGGUUAGUGUUAGGGUUCAGUCUAGGCUGGGGUCAGACAAGGCUGGGGUUAGUGUUAGGGUUCAGUCUAGGCUGGGGUCAGACUAGGCUGGGGUUAUGGUCAGACUAGGCUGGGGUCAUGGUCAGACUAGGCUGGGGUUAGUGUCAGCCUGGGUUGGGGUUAGUGUUAGGGUUCAGACUAGGCUAGGAUUAUGGUCAGACUAGGCUGGGGUUAGUGUUAGGGUUCAGUCUAGGCUGGGGUCAGACUAGGCUGGGGUUAUGGUCAGACUAGGCUGGGGUUAGUGUUAGGGUUCAGUCUAGGCUGGGGUCAGACUAGAAUGGG